rnacentral:rRNA from 1 species
UACGGAGGGUGCAAGCGUUAUCCGGAUUCACUGGGGUUAAAGGGUGCGUAGGUGGUCAAGUAAGUCAGUGGUGAAAUCUCCGGGCUUAACCCGGAAACUGCCAUUGAUACUAUUUGUCUUGAAUACUGUGGAGGUCAGCGGAAUAUGUCAUGUAGCGGUGAAAUGCUUAGAUAUGACAUAGAACACCAAUUGCGAAGGCAGCUGGCUACACAAAUAUUGACACUGAGGCACGAAAGCGUGGGGAGCAAACAGG